GGGACGAUGGGGGUCCUCUAAUACAUAGCAAGUCGAACGAUGAACCACUUCGGUGGGGAUUAGUGGCGAACGGGUGAGUAACACGUGGGCAAUCUGCCCUGCACUCUGGGACAAGCCCUGGAAACGGGGUCUAAUACCGGAUACUGACCAUUACGGGCAUCCGUGGUGGUCGAAAGCUCCGGCGGUGCAGGAUGAGCCCGCGGCCUAUCAGCUUGUUGGUGAGGUAACGGCUCACCAAGGCGACGACGGGUAGCCGGCCUGAGAGGGCGACCGGCCACACUGGGACUGAGACACGGCCCAGACUCCUACGGGAGGCAGCAGUGGGGAAUAUUGCACAAUGGGCGAAAGCCUGAUGCAGCGACGCCGCGUGAGGGAUGACGGCCUUCGGGUUGUAAACCUCUUUCAGCAGGGAAGAAGCGAAAGUGACGGUACCUGCAGAAGAAGCGCCGGCUAACUACGUGCCAGCAGCCGCGGUAAUACGUAGGGCGCGAGCGUUGUCCGGAAUUAUUGGGCGUAAAGAGCUCGUAGGCGGCUUGUCACGUCGGUUGUGAAAGCCCGGGGCUUAACCCCGGGUCUGCAGUCGAUACGGGCAGGCUAGAGUUCGGUAGGGGAGAUCGGAAUUCCUGGUGUAGCGGUGAAAUGCGCAGAUAUCAGGAGGAACACCGGUGGCGAAGGCGGAUCUCUGGGCCGAUACUGACGCUGAGGAGCGAAAGCGUGGGGAGCGAACAGGAUUAGAUACCCUGGUAGUCCACGCCGUAAACGGUGGGCACUAGGUGUGGGCGACAUUCCACGUCGUCCGU
rnacentral:rRNA from 1 species